rnacentral:rRNA from 1 species
UUAUAGAGUUUGAUCCUGGCUCAGGAUGAACGCUAGCUACAGGCUUAACACAUGCAAGUCGAGGGGCAUCAGGAAGAAAGCUUGCUUUCUUUGCUGGCGACCGGCGCACGGGUGAGUAACACGUAUCCAACCUGCCCUUUACUCGGGGAUAGCCUUUCGAAAGAAAGAUUAAUACCCGAUGGCAUAAUGAUUCCGCAUGGUUUCAUUAUUAAAGGAUUCCGGUAAAGGAUGGGGAUGCGUUCCAUUAGGUUGUUGGUGAGGUAACGGCUCACCAAGCCUUCGAUGGAUAGGGGUUCUGAGAGGAAGGUCCCCCACAUUGGAACUGAGACACGGUCCAAACUCCUACGGGAGGCAGCAGUGAGGAAUAUUGGUCAAUGGGCGCUAGCCUGAACCAGCCAAGUAGCGUGAAGGAUGAAGGCUCUAUGGGUCGUAAACUUCUUUUAUAUAAGAAUAAAGUGCAGUAUGUAUACUGUUUUGUAUGUAUUAUAUGAAUAAGGA